AAGACCUUGCACUUUUGGAGCGGCCGAUGUCUGAUUAGCUAGUUGGUGGGGUAAAGGCCUACCAAAGCUUCGAUCAGUAGCUGGUCUGAGAGGACGGCCAGCCACACUGGGACUGAGACACGGCCCAGACUCCUACGGGAGGCAGCAGUGGGGAAUUUUGGACAAUGGGCGCAAGCCUGAUCCAGCCAUGCCGCGUGAGUGAAGAAGGCCUUCGGGUUGUAAAGCUCUUUCAGCCGGGAAGAAAAGGCUGCGAUUAAUAAUCGCAGUUCAUGACGGUACCGGAAGAAGAAGCACCGGCUAACUACGUGCCAGCAGCCGCGGUAAUACGUAGGGUGCGAGCGUUAAUCGGAAUUACUGGGCGUAAAGGGUGCGCAGGCGGUUUUGUAAGUCAGAUGUGAAAUCCCCGGGCUUAACCUGGGAACU
rnacentral:rRNA from 1 species